CACAGAAAAGCGGGUAACUCUCUAGGACGCCUCUAAGAUGCACCACGUGGGCGGCCGAAGUGGUGUGGCGGAAGCCGCUCAGCAGAUGGUACUCGCUACAGUCAUGUGCCACACCCUGCCCCACGCACGCGCAGAACGCGCUCGCUCCAGGGAUGAGCCGCACGCACGCGCGAGCCUGCUCGCUAAGGCUUCAGGACACCGCUGCGGCUGUCUUCAUUUGUGUCCCUGUCAGACGUGUGACUGUACAGAGUCAAUCAGUGCCCUCCCAGACGUUAGUCAGACUCUAAACCUGUCGGGUGAGUUUCCUCAGAGCCUGUCGGUAAAGCCAGCUGCACGUCAUCUCCAUGGCGCGUCAGCUGUGACAUUCACCACCGCUUGUGGCGUCAGGAUGCCUUCAUCACCUCGGGUGACUUCCUGGACGGGGCAGGGCUGCUUCACUAGAGCUGAAUUUCAGUGCAUCAGAGAGCUCUGCAUGAGGAAGCAGCAGGAGGAGGAAGCAGAUGUUUGAGCCUUGCUUUUUCUUGGCAUAUUCUUCUAUAACUAGUUAAUGUUCAUAGUUUACUUGUUUUUGAUUAAUAAGACCACCUUUGAGGGCUGGAGAUUUAGCUCAGUGGCAGCACGCCUGCCUUGCAAGCACAAGGUCCCAAGUUGGAUUCCCAAUACCACAAAAAACGGGGGAGGACCACCUUUGAGGAAGACAUGGUCACCACAUCUGUUUUCCUAGUAGCAUGAAACACAUUGGAGAGAGUAGAAGCCAUCGAGCGCCUGGUCUUUCCCAGAAGUGUAAAGGGGGCCACCAUGGGCUGACGCCAAAAAGCGCUGAGCUCAAGACUCACCACCCACGUCACAGACACUAGAGAAACAGCACUGUUACUGACGCAGAGAUGCAACAUGUGAAAAUGUGAGUCUGGAAAUCAGCAGAAGAUGGUUUGCCCUUCUGUGUUCUAUUGUCUCAGAUACAGAUUUAACCCUUAAAGAGUCCUGGAAGGAACAUUACAGGAUCCUUCCCUGUGUGGGGUUGAGAAAUCCUGGGCCAGUGUCUCUCUAAGGACACAGAUCUGCCUAUACACAGGAGAGAGACUUUGAAGGCUGUGUAGAGGAGCCUGAGCUUUCAACUGACCAACCUGAGUUGCAACCAGCCCUUGUGCACGAAUUAAGUUCACGAGUCAAGGGUCCACUACACUUGUAAUCCUACAGGGUGAUUCUAGUUUGACCCACGUUGUACCCACGUUGUGAUUUUGUUGUAUAAAUUACCCCUGACAAAGGGCCGCAGUGGCCACCCACUUGGGAUCCCGCCUGUCUCUCAGGAGCUUUCUCUUAAUAAAACUUCGCUACUCC
rnacentral:lncRNA from 1 species